GUCAUGAGAGCCUCUACUCUCGUAUGAGGCAGAUUUUGAACCACUCCGGUGGGAAGGCUCCGUGUGAUGUAGCUGCUGCAAAAACACCUGUUAGCAUGUCAUCCAGAAUCAUCAAGGACACUCAGAGCACUGAGGCGGUCAAGUUAAUUCUGUCAGAGCCCAGUGAUCAGAAACAAAGAACACCAGAGACAGAGACCACCAGAGUCCCGAAGUGGUGGUGCGUCUGUAUGAAGAAAAUAGUCGACCCCCUACCCUCUGGAAGACAGGGCAAUGGUUCAGGUUGCGUAGAACUCCCGCCCGUGAGGGAAGCCUGGACCGAGAUUUUCACCAGUUUCUCUGAAGGACUUGGGCGAUGGUUCAGGUUGCGUAGAACUCCCGCCCGUGAGGGAAGCCUGGACCGAGGUCAAGAAGAA